rnacentral:rRNA from 1 species
AUUGAACGCUGGCGGCAGGCCUAACACAUGCAAGUCGAGCGGCAGCGGGAAAGUAGCUUGCUACUUUUGCCGGCGAGCGGCGGACGGGUGAGUAAUGCCUGGGAAAUUGCCCAGUCGAGGGGGAUAACAGUUGGAAACGACUGCUAAUACCGCAUACGCCCUACGGGGGAAAGCAGGGGACCUUCGGGCCUUGCGCGAUUGGAUAUGCCCAGGUGGGAUUAGCUAGUUGGUGAGGUAAUGGCUCACCAAGGCGACGAUCCCUAGCUGGUCUGAGAAGAUGAUCAGCAACACUGGAACUGAGACACGGUCCAGACUCCUACGGGAGGCAGCAGUGGGGAAUAUUGCACAAUGGGGGAAACCCUGAUGCAGCCAUGCCGCGUGUGUGAAGAAGGCCUUCGGGUUGUAAAGCACUUUCAGCGAGGAGGAAAGGUUGAUGCCUAAUACGUAUCAACUGUGACGUUACUCGCAGAAGAAGCACCGGCUAACUCCGUGCCAGCCGCCGCAGUAA